rnacentral:sRNA from 1 species
UCGCAUUAAGGAUGGAAGCGGCAUCCUUUUUGCGGCUCCUUUAGCCGGAAAAAGAUAUAGCGGACAGCCUGACCCGCU